rnacentral:misc_RNA from 1 species
CAAGAAAUCCUAAACCUGAAGGUAUUGCUUCUUGUAUAGAUUCAUCUCCUGGAGAGUGAAAAGUUGCUGGAACCUCUGACCUAUGAGGUAUAGAAUCAGAAUCAGAAGCAAACAUGCCUGUUACGUCAUCCAAGUGAUUCUCAAUAGAAACCCCAUUAGUGUGUGAAUCUCCGAGCCCUUGAGGAGAUGAAAUGCUCGAAUGUAUGAUCUCAGGACAGAUAUGGGAACCAUCCUUGUCCUCUGAAUUGUCAAUGCCAUUGACUGCAUCCUUGUUAGCCAAAACAUUUACAGAGACAGAAUCUGAAGAUUGUUGUUCUUUAAAUGAAGUACUAGCUUCGGCACUACUUCUAUGCCUACAAGAUUCAUCAUGACUAUAAUUUUCACUUACCUGAUAGGGAGUAACUAAUUCCUUACUUUCAGACAUCCUUUGACUACUUGUUCCAUUAUUUCUCAAACCACUUUCAGCAGAGGUUCCCUCACCGACUGUGACACUGCUUCCAGAUGAUGCUCCAAUUUCAGCAACAGAGCUGGUAGACCUUGUUCCUAUUCCAGAAUUGAAUGAAGACUCCUCUGCAAGAUUCCAGAUCUCAUUGGUGACAGGAUCAAAAUUUUUUGUAGAAUUUACCAGAAUUUCAUCUGGAUGAUUUUCCAUCUCAAGAGUAGCG